rnacentral:lncRNA from 1 species
GCAGUGGCAUGAUCUCGGCUCACUACAACCUCCACCUCCUGGACUCAAGUGAUUCUCCUGCCUCAGCCUCCUGAAUAGCUGGGAUUACAGGCAUGUGCCACCAUGCCUGACUAAUUUUUGUAUUUUUAGUAGAUAUGGGGUUUCACUAUGUUGGUCAGGCCGUUCUCAAACUCCUGACCUCAUGAUCUGCCCACCUUGGCCUCCCAAAGUGCUGGGAUUACAGGCAUGAGCCACCGUGCCCGGCCCCAUGCCUCCAUUUUCUAUCCUGCUGCUUGGAACAUGGAGAUGGAUAUGAUGGUGCACCAUACUGGACCAUGGAGACUGAGUUAGAAAAAUAUCCAUAUUUAUACUCGAUUUCCACUCUUGGAACACUUGCUUUUGGAAGCCAGCUGCCAUCUAAGUAUGACUACUCUGAAACCGCCGUGCUGUGAGGAACCCGAGCCAUGUAGAGACUGCGGCCAAGAAGCACCGAGGUGCCAAACGUGUGAGUGAAGAAACCAUCUUGGAACUCCAUCAUCUAGCAGCUGUCUUAGUGGAUACCAUGUAGAUCCUAGACAAAUUGCCCAGCUAAGAUCUUUCCAAAUUCCUGACCCACCAAAUCAUGAGCAAAAUAAAACAGUUGUUUGAAG